UACGGGGGGGGCAAGCGUUGUUCGGAAUUACUGGGCGUAAAGGGCGCGUAGGCGGCACGGCAAGUCGGGAGUGAAAGGCCUGGGCUCAACCGAGGAACUGCUUUCGAGACUGCCGAGCUAGAGUGCGGAAGGGGCAACUGGAAUUCCCAGUGUAGCGGUGAAAUGCGUAGAUAUUGGGAAGAACACCUGAGGCGAAGGCGGGUUGCUGGGCCGACACUGACGCUGAGGCGCGAAAGCCAGGGGAGCAAACGGG
rnacentral:rRNA from 1 species